rnacentral:lncRNA from 1 species
GAAUUUUCUCUCAUUUCUUUUUGUGGUGAAGCUCAGAGAGCUUUUAUUCUUCUACCUUUGGUACUGCAGAAUCAUUUGUACUGCAGAAAAAAUAGCUGGGGAUAUGGAGUUUAUAUAAGGCAACCCAAUAAGAAAAACAAGGAAUGAGUCCACAGGCCAGGACAGCAGAAUAAUUUCUGUGGGGUGAUAGUUUCUGUUGUCUUAAAGCAUUUUAGAAUAUGAAUUUAAGCCACCUUGUCACUAGGCAUUUGGAGCAAUUAACUUUAAGUCAUUUUUAUUACAAUUAAAAGACUAUCAUAUAAAUUGUAAGUAGUGUGCGUAUUGACAGAAGGUAAGUCCUCAACUUCUUCCCAUAUUAUCACUGAGCCAGGAUAAAUUUCCCAAAUAAAAAAUCAGUGUUUGUAAUUUGCUUCCAACAAAGGAUGGGAAGUGGAAGAGAGACAUUAAACUGUAGCGCUAACAAUACUAAUUUUAUCAGAUUUCAAAUAAGAGUAAUUAAACUUAUAAAAUGAUAUACUAAUUCUUUUUGCAUCACUUUCCCUUUUUGUUAUUUAAAGUCAAAUUCCAGAAAUAAAAAUCUUUAUCAUACUGUUUUCUUCUUGCUAAAGCUGGAAGGAUAAAAUAAAAAAUUCAGCAACAUCAGAAAAUGUUUGAUCUAAAAUAAUAAUGAAGAGUAUGGUUGUUAAGUACAUGAACCAAAUCGACUUCCUUGUUCCCUUUGAGAACUCAUGAUUGUCUAGCAAAUGCAUGUAGAUUUGUUUUUAGUGUAUAACAUGAAUAGACAGUGCUUCCUUUUGCAAUUACAAAAUAAUUGCUUUGAAAUACCCCUCUCAGUCUGUAAACUUUAGAGGCAUGUGUAUAUACAAGUAUGUUUUAUAAACCAUGAAUUUGUGUGUUUCCACUAAGUAUGAUCAAUUUGAUAAUAAAAGCAGGUUUACUUCUUACCACUUAAAGUUUUGAUCUUAGGGCUGUUGAGGAAAAAGUGAUUCCUAACAAUUUAGAUGAAGAAGGAAGUAACAUGUUACAUCCAGUAACUGGGCACUAGAUCCUCUUAGGCCUGUUUACCCACCAAAACAAGCUGUAAGUUUUCAUUUCUUCAUGGCACUGUGUUGUGUUAAACUGUGUUAACAUUUGUGCUAGCAUGGAGCAUGUACUUUUCUAUAUAUAAGUGUUAGAAUUUCAGCUAUUUUAGUUGAAACACAAAAUUGUUACUUAUCCAAUAAAAGUAUCAAAGGCCAAACAGU